GAGGGUGGGGGUGGGAUGGUAUGGAUUCUCUGGCUGGUAUUAAUUUUCAGAAUUUUCAGUGUGUCAUUCUGUGUGUGUGUGUGUGUGUGUGUGUGUGUGUGUGUAUGUGUGUUUCUCCCAUUGGAAAAACAAAAGAUGGGUUUCCUUGCCCAUCAUGGAAAAAAUGUAACAUACAACUAAAUCCCUUCCUGAGAGUACAGACAACCAAAAGCAGGCAGCUUAGAUCAGGGUGGUGAGGAAGUUUUGUCAUUUCCAGAAGGAAGCAUGAGUCAUAGUGUACGACAUUUGGGGAGGCCUGAAUCAGAGCUGUCGAGGAAGUCAGUUCUCAGUUUAACUUGGAACCACAAUGUAAUUUAAUAUAACAUCUUCAAUAUCUUGUCUUUCUCCAAGAUGGCUGUAGACAUAGAUGUUCUGAUUAUUUCUCUUCAGAAACGUAAUUUAACAGCUGAAGAAUAACACUAAUCUACUUCUGUGGCAACAAGGUCUGAAAAUUAUAAUAAAUAUAUACUUUUUAGAAAGGAGAAAAGAGAGUAGGUAAGAGAGGGAGAGAGGACACUGCUCUAACAGCUAUUACUAAAUGAAGAAUGGUCAAGUUUAAAUGAUAUUGUUGGAAAAAAUUAUUAUGAGUAACUAAGCAUUUUAACAAACAUCCUUUUCCUCUUUGAGGCCAAAAUGUACUCGAGAAAAAAAAAUCGUUCCACAUAUUCAAAUUUCACAUGCUAUAAGAUUCUGACCUAUUUCACAAAGGCUUAAUACUCAGAAAGGUUCCAGAAUGCUGAGGAACACCCUAUAUAACCAUUUAGAAGAUGAUCAUGAGUUGGGUUUAGGAUGAGAAGAGAUGCUGCUCUUUGGGGCUGGGAGAAGAAUGGUCCUGUGUUAAGCAUCACAUAUCUGGACCCUGGAUUCUACAAGAGGCCCUUGGAAUGUCACAUGAAGAUUGUCUCUGAUCCCUCAGUGUGGAGGCCAGUCCUGGGAUGUAUCCAGAAUGCUGAUAAUUUAAGACCAAGGUUUUAUCAGGCCCAGUUGAAGCAUAAAGUGAUGGACUCAGGGUUCAAGGUUCAACAUCUGGCUCUGUCACUUUCAAGCUGGAUAAUCCUGAGUGAGUUCUUUAAACUGUCUAAGCCUGUUUUCUCAUCUGUUAAAAGAAAAUAG
rnacentral:lncRNA from 12 species